rnacentral:rRNA from 1 species
UGAACGCUGGCGGCGUGCCUAAUACAUGCAAGUCGAGCGAACGGACGAGAAGCUUGCUUUUCUGAUGUUAGCGGCGGACGGGUGAGUAACACGUGGAUAACCUACCUAUAAGACUGGGAUAACUUCGGGAAACCGGAGCUAAUACCGGAUAAUAUUUUGAACCGCAUGGUUCAAAAGUGAAAGACGGUCUUGCUGUCACUUAUAGAUGGAUCCGCGCUGCAUUAGCUAGUUGGUAAGGUAACGACUUACCAAGGCAACGAUGCAUAGCCGACCUGAGAGGGUGAUCGGCCACACUGGAACUGAGACACGGUCCAGACUCCUACGGGAGGCAGCAGUAGGGAAUCUUCCGCAAUGGGCGAAAGCCUGACGGAGCAGCGCCGCGUGAGUGAUGAAGGUCUUCGGAUCGUAAAACUCUGUUAUUAGGGAAGAACAUAUGUGUAAGUAACUGUGCACAUCUUGACGGUACCUAAUCAGAAAGCCACGGCUAACUACGUG